rnacentral:rRNA from 1 species
AGAGUUAAAAAGUAUGUGAAAUUGUUGAAAGGGAAACGAUUGAAGUCAGUCGUACCGACGGAAAAUCAACUUCUCGGGUGUCUAUCGUGGGUGACGUUGAGCUUCACGGUCUUCGUUGCUUGUGUUGUUGGUACCUUUGGGGUGUACUUUUUCGUAUGGUAGGUCAACAUCGAUUUUAAUCGUCAUAAAAUGAUCGGAGGAAUGUAGCUUCGAUUUCGAUCGGAGUGUUAUAGCCUUCGGUAGAUGUGACGAUUGGUAUCGAGGAUUGCAAUGAAUACCCUUUGGGCUAUCCGUCUGACCUCUGAAAGUCGCUAGGGUGUUGAAAGCGUGCUUAUAACAUUCUAGUUGGCGGUCAAAAGGUUAGAAUGCGAUUACAUUCGUUAAGGAUGUUGACGUAAUGGCUUUAAACGACC